rnacentral:rRNA from 1 species
AACUAACAGGAUUCCCCUAGUAGCGGCGAGCGAAGCGGGAAGAGCUCAAAUUUAUAAUCUGGCACCUUCGGUGUCCGAGUUGUAAUCUCUAGAAAUGUUUUCCGCGUUGGACCGCACACAAGUCUGUUGGAAUACAGCGGCAUAGUGGUGAGACCCCCGUAUAUGGUGCGGACGCCCAGCGCUUUGUGAUACAUUUUCGAAGAGUCGAGUUGUUUGGGAAUGCAGCUCAAAUUGGGUGGUAAAUUCCAUCUAAAGCUAAAUAUUGGCGAGAGACCGAUAGCGAACAAGUACCGUGAGGGAAAGAUGAAAAGCACUUUGGAAAGAGAGUUAACAGUACGUGAAAUUGUUGGAAGGGAAACGCUUGAAGUCAGACUUGCUUGCCGAGCAAUCGGUUUGCAGGCCAGCAUCAGUUUUCCGGGAUGGAUAAUGGUAGAGAGAAGGUAGCAGUUUCGGCUGUGUUAUAGCUCUCUGCUGGAUACAUCUUGGGGGACUGAGGAACGCAGU